rnacentral:misc_RNA from 1 species
AACUUGAUAAUAUUCUUGUCCCCCUGCAAAAUUCAUUUCGAAGAAAACAAGUGCAAUAGAGUAUGAAACAGAGAAACUGCAAGGCAAUAUACACCAACAAACUAUCUGCAAAAGUGUCAAACCACAAGAAAGGAAUGGCAUACAAAAGGAGAUUUUUUGCAAACUUUUCAAAACCAUUACCUAAAAUUAAAAUAACCUGAUAAACAUAUUUAAGUGCCAUUACCUAAAUUUUAAGAUAAAUAUAAGGCAUAUAUGCCAAACUUUGGUAGGACUAGCACAACUUUAAGUUUGAAAAUCCUGAACAAACUUUUAGGGAAAGAAAAAAAAGAGAUGGUGUAAACUGUGGCAUGACUGAACAAUUAAUGCACAAAUUACUUCCAAGUGCUCAUCAUUAACAAGAACAGAACUUACCACAUAAGCUUCAAAUAUACGAU